AUGCUUGCAGAGGACGUACUGAAGUGCGAAGGCGGGUUGGUAUUCAAGAGAGAUCCCUCCAUUAGCGGCGGCGGCGUGUGCGUCGUAGCCGACAUACUCAAGUGCGGCGGCGGGUUGGUAUUCAAGGAAGAUCCCUCUGUUAGCGGCGGCGGCGAGUGCGUCGUAGCCGACGUACUCAAGUGCGGCGCCGGGUUCGAAUUCAAGGAAGAUCCAUCCAUUAGCGGCGGUGGCGGGUGCGUCGUAGCAGCCGUAGUGCAAUGCGGCGCCGGGUUCGAAUUCAAGAAAGAUCCCUCCAUGAGCGGCGGCGGCGGAUGCGUCGUAGCCGCCUUACUCAAGUGCGGCGCUGGGUUCGAAUUCAAGGAAGAUCCCUCCAUUCGCGGCGGCGGCGAGUGCGUUGUCACCAACGUAGUCAAGUGCGACGCCGGGUUCGAAUUCAAGAAAGACAACCCCCCUACCGGUGGCGGCAAGUGCGUAGCGGUCGGCACCACUGUCAGGACCUGA
rnacentral:rRNA from 1 species